AGUGAGCCAGGAGCUUUAUUUAGUUGCGCAGAAACCCCAUGGCCUGGAUCAGGACUCCUAAGCCCAUGUCCUUACCAUCCAAGAGGACAAAAUCUUGUGAGCAAGAUCUACCCUCUCCGGGAAAAGAGCCA
ensembl:misc_RNA